AUUGAACGCUGGCGGCAGGCCUAAUACAUGCAAGUCGAGCGGAGCGGCGGACGGGGGAGGAAUGCCUAGGAAUUUGCCUGGUAGUGGGGGAUAACGUCCGGGAGCGGGCGCUAUUACCGCAUACUUUAAGGUCAGUCUAGGUGGGAUUAGCUAGUUGGAGGGGUAAAGGCUUACCAAGGCGACGAUCCGUAACUGGUCUGAGAGGAUGAUCAGCCACACUGGAACUGAGACACGGUCCAGACUCCUACGGGAGGCAGCAGUGGGGAAUAUUUGGCAAUGGGCGAAAGCCUGACCCAGCCAUGCCGCGUGUGUGAAGAAGGUCUUCGGAUUGUAAAGCACUUUAAGUUGGGAAGCGGUACCAACAGAAUAAGCACCGGCUAACUACGUGCCAGCAGCCGCGGUAAUAC
rnacentral:rRNA from 1 species